rnacentral:rRNA from 1 species
CGUACAGGUCUCCGUAGGUGAACCUGCGGAGGGAUCAUUACACAAAUAUGAAGGCGGGCUGGAACCUCUCGGGGUUACAGCCUUGCUGAAUUAUUCACCCUUGUCUUUUGCGUACUUCUUGUUUCCUUGGUGGGUUCGCCCACCACUAGGACAAACAUAAACCUUUUGUAAUUGCAAUCAGCGUCAGUAACAAAUUAAUAAUUACAACUUUCAACAACGGAUCUCUUGGUUCGGGCAUCGAUGAAGAACGCAGCGAAAUGCGAUAAGUAGUGUGAAUUGCAGAAUUCAGUGAAUCAUCGAAUCUUUGAACGCACAUUGCGCCCUUUGGUAUUCCAAAGGGCAUGCCUGUUCGAGCGUCAUUUGUACCCUCAAGCUUUGCUUGGUGUUGGGCGUCUUGUCUCUAGCUUUGCUGGAGACUCGCCUUAAAGUAAUUGGCAGCCGGCCUACUGGUUUCGGAGCGCAGCACAAGUCGCACUCUCUAUCAGCAAAGGUCUAGCAUCCAUUAAGCCUUUUUUCAACUUUUGACCUCGGAUCAGGUAGGGAUACCCGCUGAACUUAAGCAUAUC